AUUCCGGGUCAGAUCCGUU
rnacentral:snRNA from 1 species